rnacentral:lncRNA from 1 species
GGUUAUGGUUAGGGUUAGGGUUGGAGCUAGGGUUAGGGUUAGGUUUAGGGUUGGAGUUAGGGUUAGUGUUGGAGCUAGGGUUAGGGUUGGGCUUGGAGCUAGGACUUUUCUGAGUGCAAUGAACCAACUCCCGAGUCUCUAGGACGUUCCCUAAAAAAAUUUGAUUUUUUCCCAUAGGAAUGCAUGGGUUAGGGUUAGGGUUAGGGUUGGAGCUAGGGUUAGGGUUAGGGUUAGGGUUGGAGUUAGGGUUAGUGUUGGAGCUAGGUUUAGGGUUGGGCUUGGAGCUAGGAUUUUUCUGAGUGCACUGAACCAACUCCCGAGUCUCUAGGACAUUCCUAAAAAAAUUUGAUUUUUUCCCAUAGGAAUGCAUGGGUUAGGGUUAUGGUUGGGGUUAGGGUUGGAGCUAGGGUUAGGGUUAGGGUUAGGGUUGGAGUUAGGGUUAGUGUUGGAGCUAGGGUUAGGGUUGGGCUUGGAGCUAGGAUUUUUCUGAGUGCACUGAACCAACUCCCGAGUCUCUAGGACAUUCCUAAAAAAAUUGAUUUUUUCCCAUAGGAAUGCAUGGGUUAGGGUUAUGGUUAGGGUUAGGGUUGGAGCGAGGGUUAGGGUUAGGGUUAGGGUUGGAGUUAGGGUUAGUGUUGGAGCUAGGGUUAGGGUUGGGCUUGGAGCUAGGAUUUUCUGAGUGCAAUGAACCAACUCCCGAGUCUCUAGGACGUUCCUAAAAAAAUUUGAUUUUUUCCCAUAGGAAUGCAUGGGUUAGGGUUAGGGUUAGGGUUGGAGCUAGGGUUAGGGUUAGGGUUAGGGUUAGGGUUGGAGUUAGGGUUAGUGUUGGAGCUAGGGUUAGGGUUGGGCUUGGAGCUAGGAUUUUUCUGAGUGCACUGAACCAACUCCCGAGUCUCUAGGACAUUCCUAAAAAAAUUUGAUUUUUUCCCAUAGGAAUGCAUGG